AUGCAAGUCGAACGGCAGCACGGGAGUAAUCCUGGUGGCGAGUGGCGAACGGGUGAGUAAAGCAUCGGAACGUGCCCAGUCGUGGGGGAUAACGUAGCGAAAGCUACGCUAAUACCGCAUACGAUCUGUGGAUGAAAGCGGGGGACCGUAAGGCCUCGCGCGAUUGGAGCGGCCGAUGUCAGAUUAGGUAGUUGGUGAGGUAAAGGCUCACCAAGCCGACGAUCUGUAGCUGGUCUGAGAGGACGACCAGCCACACUGGGACUGAGACACGGCCCAGACUCCUACGGGAGGCAGCAGUGGGGAAUUUUGGACAAUGGGCGCAAGCCUGAUCCAGCAAUGCCGCGUGCAGGAUGAAGGCCUUCGGGUUGUAAACUGCUUUUGUACGGAGCGUAAAGGCUUCCACUAAUACUGGGGGCUCAUGACGGUACCGUAAGAAUAAGCACCGGCUAACUACGUGCCAGCAGCCGCGGUAAUACGUAGGGUGCGAGCGUUAAUCGGAAUUACUGGGCGUAAAGCGUGCGCAGGCGGUCUUGUAAGACAGGUGUGAAAUCCCCGGGCUUAACCUGGGAACUGCACUUGUGACUGCAAGGCUGGAGUA
rnacentral:rRNA from 1 species